AUCUCUGUAGAGUCUGCAUAUCAAAUAAGCGGAGGAAAAGAAACUAACAAGGAUUCCCUUAGUAACGGCGAGUGAAGCGGGAAGAGCUCAAAUUUGAAAUCUUCAAGGUUCUACCUUGACGAAUUGUAGUUUAUAGAAGUGUUUUCUGUUAGUAGAGUGGCAAAAGUUCUUUGGAAUAGGACAUCAUAGAGGGUGAGAAUCCCGUAUUUGGUCAUUCUUUCUAGCUUUGUGAUACACUUUCAACGAGUCGGAUUGUUUGGGAAUGCAGUCCAAAAUGGGUGGUAAAUUUCAUCUAAAGCUAAAUAUUAGCGAGAGACCGAUAGCGAACAAGUACCGUGAGGGAAAGAUGAAAAGAACUUUGAAAAGAGAGUUAAACAGUACGUGAAAUUGUCAAAAGGGAAGCGUUUGACACCAGUGUUGUUUUUCCGAAAAUCAAUUACGAAUGUUUUGUUUUUGAGAAGUUAUGACUUCAUCGGCUUGCUUCUUUCUUUACGAAACUUUCUUAAUGCACUUUUCGGUUAACAAGUCAACAUCAAUUUCUUUUGUUGUAAAAGGGUCAUUGAGGAAGGUGGCUUUCUUUUCGGAGAAAGUGUUUAUAGCCUUUGGCCUCUGCAAUCGGAGAGAUUGAGGUCUGCAGCGUAGAUCCUUCGGGGUUAGAUACAUUUGUGCUAAGCUAUAGCCUUUCAUAGACAACUUGUUGACUAUGAUCAGUCAUGUAGCUUACUCGCUUAUGCUAUUUUACCUACGCUUAGGAUGUUGAUGUGAUACUGCGAGCA
rnacentral:rRNA from 1 species